rnacentral:lncRNA from 1 species
AUGAGCACAAUCAUAGAAGAUAAGGAGCCACAAAACUUCACUCUAUUUUCAAAGUUGCAGUCAAAAUAUUGCACUCUACACUGUGGCAACGAGACACGCCCUGAAGACAGAGAGCUUUACAACUUCACAAGAAAACAGAGAAACCAAGAUAUCUUGCGAUAUCAGAAGGACACUCAAGACUUGGAGCUACUUCACCCAACAAGAGUUUCACACUGGGGUCUCCCAUCUCUACCUGCUCAAUACUUCAGGCCCAUACAUUUCCUGACAUCAGAUUCUUCACCAAGAACCUUUUUGUGGUCCAUUCUCUUAGGGCACAAUUCUCUAGUGAUAGGAAAUGAUCCUGUCAAACCAUCCAUAUUCAUUAACCUUGAUGAUGAUACCUCUGUUAGGUACCUGCUUUGUGUGUAA